GCCGGGCAUGGUGGUGCGUGCCUGUAGUCCAAGCUACUCAGGAGGCUGAGACAGAGAGAAUUGCUUGAACCCAGGAGGUGGAGGGUGCAGUGAGCCGAGAUCACGACACUGCACCCCAGCCUGGGUGACAGAGUGAGACUCUGUCUCAA
rnacentral:SRP_RNA from 1 species